rnacentral:misc_RNA from 1 species
CAUCCGGUGGGACUCGGCGGAGGAAGGACGCGGGUCGGCCGCAGGUGCUCGACGACGGUCAGUGACAGUUGCGAUCGGCGCGUUCGAGGUGUACGUAAAGAGGGACCGAAGGAGAAUCAGGAGGAGGAGAGAGAGAGAGAGAGAGAGAGAGAGACGGAAGGCAACUCGACUCUGGGCGGACGAGAAAGACGAGAAAGACGCGGAGACUUCCUCCCUUACCCCCUCCCCCUCACUCUCGUCUCUCUUCCCGAGGAAGGCGAGAAGCUCCGGGCUAACCGGCUCGCUCGCUCGCGAGGAGGGCGAGUCCGUCCUUCGUCGUCGCGGCAGUGGCAGUGGUAGUGGUGGUGGUGGUGCUGGUGGUGGUGGGACUCGCGCGCUCGUCGUCGGUUGCGCAUCGUGGCGACAACUAGUAGCGGCAGCCGCCGUCGUCGUCGUCGUCGUCGUCGUCGUUGGACUCGGUCAGACUCUGCCCCGAGUCGAUCGUCCCGAGUACGCGAGUAGAGUCAUCGGCGAGUACAGAGCACGUGGGAUAGAGAAAGAGAUAGAGACCGAGGAGCCAGGCAUCAUCAUCAUCCAUCAGCAGCAGCAGCAGCAGCUUUGCCGCUCGCUAAACAAAGAUGGCGGACGUGGACUCUCGGGUAGACCGGUCCGAUCCGGAGCUGCGCUUCCUGUCGGUGGACAGGAACAACUUCAACGACCCGGCCACCCAGGCGGAAUGGACGCAGAAGAAGCUGGUGUGGGUGCCGCACGAGACCCAGGGCUUCGUCGCCGCCGGGAUCAAGGGCGAGCGCGGCGACGAGGUCGAGGUGGAGAUCGCCGAGACCGGCAAGCGCGUGCUCGUCGCCAAGGACGACAUACAGAAGAUGAACCCGCCCAAGUUCGACAAGGUCGAGGACAUGGCGGAGCUUACCUGCCUCAACGAGGCCUCCGUCCUGCAUAACCUCAAGGACCGAUACUACUCCGGCCUGAUCUACACAUACUCUGGCCUCUUCUGCGUCGUGGUAAACCCCUACAAGAGACUGCCGAUAUACACAGAAAAGAUCAUGGAAAGGUACAAAGGCAUCAAGAGACACGAGGUGCCGCCGCACGUCUUUGCCAUUACUGAUACGGCUUAUCGUUCCAUGUUGCAAGAUCGGGAGGACCAGUCGAUUUUGUGUACCGGCGAGUCUGGCGCCGGGAAGACCGAAAACACGAAAAAAGUGAUUCAAUAUUUGGCUUAUGUAGCCGCGUCGAAACCCAAGUCUAACGCGACUCCGAGCCCGGCAUUAAUCAUAGGAUCUGGGAGUGUCACGGAAAAGUUUGCGGGCGAGCUGGAGCAACAGCUUCUUCAGGCAAAUCCAAUUUUAGAGGCGUUCGGCAAUGCAAAGACCGUGAAGAACGAUAACUCGUCUCGUUUCGGUAAAUUUAUUAGAAUAAACUUUGACGCCUCCGGUUAUAUAGCCGGUGCAAACAUCGAGACAUAUCUUUUGGAAAAAUCGAGGGCCAUUCGACAAGCGAAAGACGAAAGAACUUUCCACAUAUUUUAUCAACUGUUGGCGGGUGCCUCGCCGGAACAGAAAAAGGAAUUUAUAUUGGAGGAUCCGAAGCACUACCCCUUCCUGUCGAAUGGAGCCCUCCCGGUGCCAGGGGUCGACGAUUCCGCCGAGUUCUUCUCCACAGUAAAGUCGAUGCACAUCAUGGGCAUGACCAACGAGGACUUCUCCUCCAUCUUCCGUAUCGUUUCCGCCGUGAUGUUGUUUGGCUCGAUGCAGUUUCGUCAGGAACGGAAUUCCGAUCAGGCGACGUUGCCCGACAACACGGUGGCACAGAAAAUCUCGCAUUUGUUGGGCUUGAGCGUUACCGAGAUGACGAAGGCCUUCCUGAAGCCGCGCAUCAAGGUUGGCCGUGAUUUUGUGACGAAGGCGCAGACAAAGGAGCAGGUGGAAUUUGCUGUAGAAGCGAUCUCGAAGGCCUGCUACGAGAGGAUGUUCCGUUGGCUGGUGAACAGGAUCAACAGAUCUCUGGAUAGGACGAAGCGACAGGGUGCCAGUUUUAUUGGGAUACUGGAUAUGGCCGGCUUCGAGAUAUUCGAGUUGAACUCCUUCGAGCAGUUGUGCAUCAAUUACACGAAUGAGAAGCUGCAACAGUUGUUCAAUCACACAAUGUUCAUUCUGGAGCAGGAGGAGUAUCAGCGCGAGGGGAUCGAGUGGAAGUUUAUAGAUUUCGGAUUGGAUCUGCAGCCAACGAUCGAUCUGAUCGAUAAACCGAUGGGUAUCAUGGCGCUUUUGGACGAGGAAUGCUGGUUCCCGAAAGCCACGGACAAGACAUUUGUGGAAAAGCUGGUUGGCGCUCAUAGUGUCCAUCCAAAGUUCAUGAAGACUGAUUUCCGCGGCGUGGCCGACUUCGCGAUCAUUCAUUACGCCGGCAAGGUGGACUAUUCCGCCGCCAAGUGGCUGAUGAAAAACAUGGACCCGUUGAACGAGAACGUUGUCAGUCUUUUACAAGCCUCGCAGGAUCCGUUUGUGUGUCACAUUUGGAAGGACGCCGAGAUCGUGGGUAUGGCACAGCAGGCACUCACGGACACGCAGUUUGGCGCGAGAACGAGAAAGGGCAUGUUUAGAACAGUCUCGCAAUUGUAUAAAGAACAGUUGGCCAAGCUGAUGGUGACACUGCGAAAUACGAAUCCGAACUUUGUUAGGUGUAUAAUUCCGAAUCACGAGAAGAGAGCCGGUAAAAUUGAUGCGCCGCUCGUGCUAGAUCAACUACGGUGCAAUGGAGUGUUGGAGGGUAUCCGCAUCUGCCGGCAAGGUUUUCCCAACAGAAUUCCGUUCCAAGAAUUUAGACAACGCUACGAACUACUCACUCCGAAUGCUAUUCCCAAAGGAUUCAUGGAUGGGAAGAAAGCUUGCGAAAAGAUGAUUCAAGCAUUGGAGUUGGAUCCAAACCUUUAUCGUGUUGGACAAUCGAAAAUCUUUUUCCGCGCCGGAGUGUUGGCACACUUGGAGGAAGAAAGAGACUACAAGAUCACGGAUAUAAUCGUCAAUUUCCAAGCUUUCUGUCGCGGUUUCUUGGCUCGGCGUAAUUAUCAGAAACGUCUGCAGCAGCUUAACGCAAUUCGCAUUAUUCAGAGAAACUGCGCGGCCUACUUAAAACUACGCAAUUGGCAAUGGUGGCGGCUGUAUACCAAGGUGAAGCCGCUAUUGGAGGUCACUAAGCAAGAGGAGAAGCUUACGCAAAAGGAGGAUGAGCUGAAGCAAGUUCGCGAUAAGCUGGAGUUACAGCUGCACUCGGCUCAAGAGUAUGAACGUAAAUAUCAGCAGGCGAUUGAAGAGAAAACUAUGCUGGCUGAGCAACUGCAGGCGGAAGUCGAGCUCUGUGCGGAAGCUGAAGAAAUGAGGGCUCGACUGGCCGCAAGGAAGCAGGAACUUGAGGAAAUUUUGCACGAUUUGGAAGCGCGUAUCGAGGAGGAAGAGGAGAGAAGCGCCGCGUUGACUCAGGAGAAGAAAAAGCUGCAGUUGAAUAUCAGCGACUUGGAGGAGCAGCUGGAGGAAGAGGAGGCUGCCAGACAAAAAUUGCAAUUGGAGAAGGUCCAAUGCGAUGCGAAGAUUAAGAAAUUGGAGGAAGAUCUCGCCCUGUCGGAUGACACCAAUCAGAAGUUGUUAAAGGAGAAGAAAAUUCUCGAGGAGCGCGCCAAUGAUCUCUCGCAGACUCUGGCAGAAGAGGAGGAGAAAGCGAAGCAUCUGUCCAAACUGAAAGCCAAACACGAGGCGACAAUCGCCGAUCUCGAGGAGAGGCUUCUCAAGGAUCAUCAGCAACGUCAAGAGGUGGAUAGAUCCAAGAGGAAGGUCGAAACUGAGGUCUCCGAUCUGAAGGAGCAACUGGCCGAGAGGAAAUCGCAUGUGGAGGAACUACAGCUUCAACUUGGCAAACGCGAGGAGGAGCUCAAUCAAGUCAUGGCGAAGAUGGACGAGGAAGGCGCUUCCAAGGCGCAAGCUCAGAAGGCUCUCAGGGAAUUGGAAUCACAGUUAGCCGAGCUUCAGGAAGAUUUGGAAGCCGAGAAAGCCGCUAGGGGCAAGGCCGAGAAGCAGAAGCGCGAUUUGAACGAAGAACUCGAAGCGUUGAAGAAUGAAUUGCUCGAUUCUCUGGAUACUACUGCGGCUCAACAGGAGUUGAGAAGCAAACGGGAGCAAGAACUUGCGACGUUGAAGAAGAAUCUGGAGGAGGAGACUUCGUCGCACGAAGGUACGCUUGCCGACAUGCGUCACAAGCAUACGCAAGAGUUGACCGUUCUGAACGAACAGAUGGACGCGCUGAAGAAGACCAAGGCAGCCUUGGAGAAAGCGAAAGGCUCCUUGGAAGCGGAGAACGCUGAUCUGGCGACGGAAUUAAGAUCGGUCAGCGCGAGCAGACAAGAGUCCGAUCGACGUCGCAAACAAGCGGAGCAACAACUGGCGGAAAUCAAUGCAAAGCUGGCCGAGGUGGAGAGAAACAAGCAAGAAUUUUCCGAGAAGGUGACCAAGUUGCAACAAGAGGCGGAGAGCGUGAUGCAACAACUGGAGACCGCCGAACUGAAAGCAUCCGCGGCAUUAAAAGCCUCGACCACCUGCGAGUCGCAAUUUACCGAACUUCAACAACAAUUGGAGGAAGAAACCCGGCAGAAACUGGCUCUCAGCUCGAAGCUGCGCGCGUUGGAAGGCGAGAAGGAGAGCCUGCACGAUCAGCUUGAAGAGGAGGAGGAAGCAAAACGUGCCUUGGAUAAGCAGGUGCUGAGUUUGAAUAUACAACUCGCCGAGGCCAAGAAACGCGCCGACGAGGAAGCGGAGGCGGCCGCUGCCCUCGAGGAGGCCAGAAAGCGUUGCACGAAGGACAUCGAAGCUCUUCAGCGGCAGGUCGAGGAAUUGCAGGCGGCCAAUGACAAGCUGGACAAAUCGAAGAAGAAGAUUCAAGCGGAACUGGAGGACAGCAUCAUCGAGCUGGAGGCGCAGCGAGCGAAGGUACUCGAGCUGGAGAAGAAGCAAAAGAAUUUCGACAAGGUGCUCGCCGAAGAGAAGGCCGUGUCCGAACAAUACGCGGAGCAGAGGGACAUCGCGGAAAGGGAAGCUCGUGAAAAGGAGACGAGAGUGCUGUCGUUGACCCGGGAAUUGGAUGAACUUAACGAGAAGGUCGAGGAAUUGGAACGAGGCCGUCGAGGUCUGCAGUCGGAGUUGGACGAGUUGGUAAAUAAUCAGGGUACGGCUGACAAAAAUGUCCACGAAUUAGAGAAGGCGAAACGAUCGUUGGAGUCGCAGCUGCAAGAGCAAAAAUCGCAGGUGGAAGAGUUGGAGGACGAGCUGCAAUUCACCGAAGACGCGAAGCUGCGAUUGGAGGUGAACAUGCAGGCGUUGCGAGCGCAGUUCGAGCGCGAUCUCCAGACUAAGGAGGAGCAGGCGGAGGAGAAACGUCGAGGAUUGGUGAAGCAGCUGCGUGAUCUCGAGGCGGAGCUCGAGGACGAGAGGAAGCAACGUGCCGCGGCUAUUGCGGCGCGUAAGAAGAUGGAAGCGGAUUACAAGGACAUCGAGCAGCAGCUGGAGAUGCAUAAUAAGGUGAAGGAGGACGCGCUGAAGCAGCUGAAGAAGCUUCAGACUCAGAUCAAGGAUUGCACCAGAGAGACGGAAGAGGCCAGGGCCGCCAGGGACGAGUUGGCGGCCGCUUCUAAGGAAACCGAGAGGAAGGUUAAGAGCCUGGAAGCUGACUUGUUGCAAUUGACCGAGGACUUCGCCUGCAGCGAACGCGCCAGGAGAACCGCCGAGAACGAGAGGGACGAGUUGCAGGAGGAGGUCAACAACAAUGCCAACAAGGGUACUCUGAUGUUGGACGAGAAGCGUAGACUGGAGGCGAGGAUUGCCACACUGGAGGAGGAGUUGGAGGAGGAGCAGUCGAACGCCGAGAUUGUUAUGGAUCGCGCCAGGAAGGGCCAGAUUACGAUCGAACAGCUGACAACGGACUUGGCGACCGAGCGAUCCACCACGCAAAAGUUGGAAUCGCACAAGAUGCUGUUGGAGAGGCAAAACAAGGACCUCAAGGUGAAGCUGACCGAGCUGGAGACUGCGCAACGUGCCAAGACCAAGGCCACGAUACAGCAGCUGGAAUCGAAGAUCAACAAUCUCGAUGAACAACUCGAGACCGAGGCCAAGGAGAGAUUUGCCCAGCAAAAGAUCAAUCGCAAGUUGGAGAAGAAAUUGAAAGAAUUGAGUCUGCAGCUUGAGGAUGAGAGACGAAAUUCCGAUCAGUAUAAAGAGCAAGCGGAGAAGGUCAAUAUCAGAAUGAAGGCGUUGAAGAGACAAUUGGACGAGGCGGAAGAGGAGAUUAGCAGGCAUAAGACCCUGAAGCGGAAAAAUCAAAGGGAAAUGGACGACCUGAUAGAAAUGAACGAGGAGCUCAAUCGUGAAUUGACGCAGUACAAGAAUAAAUACAGGUGUCAAGAGAGAAAAAACGAUUGGUAUCCUACCUGAGAGAGUUUUUUGCUAGGAAACAAUCCCAUUAGUCUCCCCAGUGUGCUACAGCGCGGCGGUGGUCCUCCGAUAAGCCUGAGCUCCACGAGGCUGAAACGCGGUUCCGUGCAGACCGGCGGCUCGGGCGACGACUCGACGACGCAGGACGAGAGCAUCGACGGCGAGGAGAAUGUUAAUUGAGUAUCG